UCCCGUAGGCUGUAAUUAUGUGUACCACAACUAUCAUGUUCGUCGCAACAUAAUCAAGGGGUCUCGUCCGUUACUAAACAAUUAAGUUAAAAUCACAAGACACGAACUUGCAACAGCCAUGCAACUCUUGUUAGUCCUUUAUUUUGGUUGUCGAUUUUGACGACUUUAAGCAGUUGCCCACUAACCAAGAAACCUGAAUCGAUGUGACAAACCAGGACAUAGACUAUUUCACCGAUUGGUAAGAUUCAAAGCGUAAUAUCUUAUUAACCGACAUGCACCACCGCUUGCAAAUACUUCCGUCAAUUCCUUAGGUUUUAACCUUGGCGGUCUUAGUUCCUGGGCGGAAUAUUUACCGCGUUAGCUUGGAUACCGGAAAUUUCCGACAAACCCAAAAUUCAUC
rnacentral:misc_RNA from 1 species